UACAGAGGGGAGCAAGCGUUGUCCGGAUUUAUUGGGCGUAAAGAGCGUGUAGGCGGCCUGACAGGUCUGCUGUGAAAACUCGAGGCUCAACCUCGAGAUGUCGGCGGAAACCGUCUGGCUAGAGUCCGGAAGAGGAGAGUGGAAUUCCUGGUGUAGCGGUGAAAUGCGCAGAUAUCAGGAAGAACACCUAUGGCGAAGGCAGCUCUCUGGGACGGUACUGACGCUGAGACGCGAAAGCGUGGGGAGCGAACAGG
rnacentral:rRNA from 1 species